GCCAAUAUGGUGUAGUGGUUUGAGCACUGGACUACAACUCUGGAGAUCAGGGAUCGAUUCCCUGCUCAAGCA